GACGUAGGGGGCCAGCGUUGCUCGGAAUUACUGGGCGUAAAGAGUCUGUAGGCGGUGCGGCAAGUCGGGAGUGAAAUCUCGGGGCUUAACUCCGAGGCUGCUUUCGAAACUGCCGUGCUCGAGUGCGAGAGAGGUGAGUGGAAUUGCAGGUGUAGCGGUGAAAUGCGUAGAUAUCUGCAGGAACACCAGAGGCGAAGGCGGCUCACUGGAUCGCAACUGACGCUGAGAGACGAAAGCUAGGGGAGCAAACAGG
rnacentral:rRNA from 1 species